ensembl:lncRNA
ACCACAACCUCCUUUCAAGUCGCUGUGAACAGCGAUGAGGUCUCCCCUUAUUUUUGUAUUGCUUAUUUUUUUAUUCCUUUUAAUUCUUCCACAGCUUAUUGAAGCAGCCACCCCAGGGAGAGCAUGAUUAGUGAAGAGUAUGUGGGAUGGAACUUCGGAGCACACUGAAGACCAAACUGGAGAACAGCUGGAGAGAUGCACAAGGCCCUUUUUCACUUCCGUUUCAUUUUUGGAAGAUGUACAUGAAGACAUACGGCAUUCAAAUGAACACGGUCCCACUCCUCCAAGGACUGUGGGAAAGGUCUGCAGAGCUGAUCUUCAAACAGCAGCUCCUGCUGCUAGUGGGACGGCCUUGAGUAGUUCCCACGUGCGUGUUGCUGGAGUGAGCUGGCCCCAAGUGACAGUCUCCCCAGAGAGAAGCCAGUGGACUUCUUCGAAAAGCUUGAGCUGCAUGUUUCGAUUUGUACAUCUCUGGCCAGAGUGAGAGGAGGGUGACAGUACAGGAAAGUGUUACCCAGGGAGGUUGUAGAGUCUCCUCCUCUGAAGAUAUUCAGAACCCACCUGGAUGCUUCCCUGUACAACCUACUGUGGGGAACCUGCUUUAGUUGGACUGGAUGAUCUCCAUAGGUCCCUUCCAACCUCUAUGGUUAUGUGAUUCUGUGAUUAGUUCCAGCUCAUGUUCUAUAGCACUCCUACAGCUUCCUUCUCAGCUGCAGAUCUCCUCCCAGCCCCUAGAAGCAGAUCAAAAUGCUCACACCUGUCAAUAGCACAACUGCAGGUGUAGGAGGGGAACAGUCAUUGUCUGCCAAAGUUAUAGCUGUCCACGUCACUCAAUACAACUUCUUUGAGAAGGGGCUGCCUUCAAAAUCAGAUUGAGUCAAUAAGUCUCCAAAAAGAGAGAGCUGCUCAUGCUGUUACUGUGAAGUAUUCAUCAAGCAGGACCUCAGUUGUUUUAGGACCCAACUCUCUCCCAAGUUGCACUGCAGGCCUGUCAUGGCAUGGGAGAUACAACUCUGAAUGGAAAUCUGAGCAGAAACACUUUAUUCUGUGGCAAGUUUUAGACUUGGAAAGUAAUGACAGAGUUGAUGUCCAAACCUGCGUCAGCUACCUGUAGCUGCUGUUGAAUUCAGUGAGAAGGGGAACUGCCUUCCUCUUCAAAUUGCACCAUGAUCACAGAAACCUAGAACCAUUGAAUCACUAAGGCUGGAAUAGACCUCCAAGAUCAUCUACUCCAAACAUCUACCCACCACCAAUAUUUCCCCAAGAUAAAAUGUCCCUAAGUAUAUCAUAUAAACGUUUCUUGAACACGGGGAUGCUUGGAAUACAGACUCCUUGAAUGACCUGAGAAGACACUGACCAGCCUCUUGGAGAAUGUCCAUUUGCUCUGUGAGCUAUGACCUGUACAAAAAUUGAAAUAAAUGGCUUACUCAAGCCA